GCUUUAGUCCUCUGCCUUGCUACGUAGGAAGGAGUAUGCCCAGGCUGGAGGCCCCGGAGCACCUUGGGAAGAGGGGAGUAGGGUUGAGACUCAUGCUCCCACCUUCGCUGCUGAGGAGCAUAAGUGGUCUGCCUCUCCCUCCCUCAGCCCUGGCUCCUCUACAGAUCCUGAUUCUAGCACUGCUAUGUGAUGGGCUUGCUGCCUGAGUAAAUGGAUCCCCCACUGCAGCGGGACGGAUCGUGAACAGCUUGUACUUGUGGGCAUGCCUAGGUCUGGGUGUGGGAGCCUUUGGGGACUUCCUGAGGAGCACACUGGGGCAUCUAAAGCCUUGGCUUCCUGUUUGGCUCCUUGAGUGGUCCGGGUUGAUGAAGAUUUCAGCUGCCCUGGGUGCAGAGCAUGCUAGAGGCAAGGAGACCACGGACAGGAGCAAAGGCCUCAGGGAUGGUUGAGGCUGACAGAAGGCUGGCAAUCUGUUGAGAUGCUCAUGGGCAGCCAGGAGACCAGCAGGACCAUUGCACCAAGGCACACUUGACUGACAUGAAGCUUGGGUACCCAGAUAUCAGAGCUCCCCCAAACCCCACUCUCUCCACAACCUAAUUGAGAACAGGUACACAUGGCCUUCAAGUGCCCUGGCCAGGACCAGGGACAGAUUAGAAGGCUUAGAGGAUGUGGACGCUCUCCUCCAAACUCCCAGGUGCAGGGUCCCAGAGCACCUCCACGCUGGAUCCCUAGAAAGGAGGACCCAUCCAUCUGGAAGGCAAUCCUUCAGGCCCCUGGCCCCUCCUGUGGUCAGGAACACUCACUAGUACAGGCAGGGAUCAUCAGCGCUGCUCUGGGAGAGACUAGGCCUCCAGCAAGCCACAGAGCCUGCUCCAGGGACAAUCGGGCAUGGUUAGAAACAGAUGCUAACCCUGGAACUCUCUAAAACGCCUGGUAAAAAUCAACCCCUGACCUCAGGAAGUUCCCAGUCUGGUGGGAAAGAUACACCACUCUCAGUUCUGCUCUGAUGGACCAAAGCUUGCUUCUCAGUCUAAGGGGCAGAGACUCCUGCCCUCAGGGAACUACGAAUAUCCUGGAUUCCAAAAGCAUGUUUUCGGGCACAUGCCUGCUAGAGGGGGUGGAAGAUAAUCCAGUUAAACUGAAGAGAAGCCAACAAAUAUCCUAGCAUAAGUAUAUCCCAUACAGCAUUUGAGAUAUACUUAGCUUCAUUCUAUGUAACUGGAUAGCCUGUGUUAUUUGCCAAAUAACAAGCAAGUGUCCAGCUUGAGAGAGACAGACAGACGCAGCUCCUCCUGACUAGUG